AUACAUCUUGUGUUAUUUACUUUCUUGCAGAUUCACGGUCGGAUUUACGUUAUUCCAAGACCUCCGGUUUUAUGCAUCAACAACUUACAUGCAAGAAAUUAGAAAAGUGCAAAAAAAAAUUUCUUAAAACCUCUAAUCAAAUACCUAAAAAUGAGAAAUCAUAUCGACUAAAAGGACUGGUUGAUCUUAUUCCCUUUCAUUUCUUCUCCUAUGUAGAGCUAAACAUCUAUAAAAUAUGUCUACUAUUAGCAUUAAUACGAAAAACGAGGAUGGGAACUGAGUCCUCUUCUCUAAAAUCAAUACAGGCUACUUGGACGUGGUGUUCACAUCACUUGACUUUUUUCAGUUCAUUUUGGUCAAGAAGUUUUCUCCUCGUACAACUUAUAAAAGAAACCUAAAUUAUGUGGGGCAUUAAGUUGCAUUGUGUGUGCUUGCUUUCUAUUAAGGAACAAAAUUAUGGCAACUUGGAAGAUGUGAGGCUUCUCUUAAUCUAUGAGUUUGGUUCCAAUUCAUCGAAGGUGAUGAUACGAAGAAUGGCCCCUAAUGUAAGGUUACAAUGGUCUUUUUAAGUUUCUCCACUAGCUUGUCAUCUCCACCAGAUCUAUGGCGGUGACAGCUAGUGACCUUUGUAGUAAAAGCCUCUGUUUGUAGCCACUCUUGGCCCUUUAUGUGUUGGCCUCCUC
rnacentral:lncRNA from 1 species